rnacentral:lncRNA from 10 species
ACAUAUUCCCCCCUUGAGGCUAGAAUGGCAGGCCUAAAAUGAGUAGGAGAAUUCUGAGAAAUGGAAACUUUAAAAAGGCGGCAACCUUCUAGUUUCAUUCUCAGAAAUACCAAAGCAGCAUUUUUCCUGGACUUGUUCUGCAGAGCGCUCAGAUUUGAAAGCCAUUUCUAGCCUUUGAGGAUUACCACUGUCCUCAGCCAAACUGCAGGGACUCCUAAGUAGAUCAGAGCUCCUGGAACUUUCUCAUCUUUUCAGCAUCUCAACCCUGUGGAAUCUUUUAACUCCCAAGUGCUACCAGGAUAUUUGCGAUGUACUCUGGAAUCCCUCUGGAAGGAGCUGUCCUCACAGAAUGAAGGAUUAGAGGAGUUAAUAAAUAAGCAAACCCAACCUUUCUCCUGGGGAAUUGUGAUCCUCUCUAGAAGCUAGGCUGUGGACCUGAAUUUGCAGGAGAAGCCAGGAGUCAUCUGUGAUGCUCUGCUGAUAGCAUAGAACAGCCCUGGCAGGGCCAGGACUACUGCACUUGCACUGCCCUUACUUUGAAGCAGAAGCUGGUGAACAUGGGGGGCUACACUGGGGAGGUGUGUGUCAGGGCCAAGGUCCUCUGCCUGAGUCCUGAGAGCAGCGCAGAGGCUUUGGAGGCUGCAGUGUCUCCGAUGGAUUACCCUGCGUCCUAUAGUUUUGCAGGCACCCAGCACAUUGGAAGCCCUGCUGCAGUCCCUCGUGAUUGUCUUGCUCGGCUUCAGGUCUCUCUUGAGUGACCUGUGCAGCUAUGAGGUUUUAAAUCUGCUCACAGCCCAGCAGUAUGAGAUAUUCUCCAGAAGCUUCCACAAGAACAGAGAAUUGUUUGUCCAUGGCUUACCUGGCUUAGGAAAGACCAUCAUGGCCAUGAAGAUCAUGGAGAAGAUCAGGAAUGUGUUUCACUGUGAGGCACACAGAAUUCUCUACAUUUGUGAAAGUCAGUUUCUGAGGAAUUUCAUCAGAAAAGAAUUUCUGCGUGGAAAUGGCUUAGCUGCUGGGAAAAUGAACAUCAGUAUUGAUUUAGACACAAACUAUGCUGAGCUGGUUCUAAAUGUGGGAAGAGUCACUCUUGGAGAGAACAAUAGAAAAAAAAUGAAGGAUUGUCAACUGAGAAAACAGCAGAAUGAAAAUGUCUCACGAGCUGUGUGUGCUCUGCUGAAUUCUGGAGGGGGAGUGAUCAAGGCUGAAGUUGAGAAUAAAGGCUAUAGUUAUAAAAAAGAUGGAAUAGGGCUAGAUUUGGAAAAUUCUUUUAGUAACAUGCUGCCAUUUGUUCCUAAUUUCCUGGACUUCAUGCAGAAUGGUAACUACUUUCACAUUUUUGUGAAAUCAUGGAGCUUGGAAACCUCUGGUCCGCAGAUUGCCACGUUGAGCUCCAGUUUGUACAAGAGAGAUGUAACGUCUGCAAAAGUCAUGAAUGCUUCUGCUGCACUGGAGUUCCUCAAAGACAUGGAAAAAACUGGAGGGAGAGCAUAUUUAAGACCAGAAUUCCCUGCAAAAAGGGCCUGUGUUGAUGUACAAGAAGAAAGUAACAUGGAAGCCUUGGCUGCUGAUUUUUUUAACAGAACAGAACUUGGUUAUAAAGAAAAAUUGACCUUUACUGAAUCCACACACGUUGAAAUAAAAAACUUCUCGACUGAAAAGUUGUUACAACGAAUUACAGAGAUUCUCCCUCAAUAUGUUUCUGCAUUUGCAAAUACUGAUGGAGGAUAUUUAUUCGUUGGUCUAAAUGAAGAUAAAGAAGUAAUUGGCUUUAAAGCAGAGAAGAGUUAUCUUACUAAGUUAGAAGAAGUAACAAAAAAUUCCAUUGGGAAACUGCCUGUGCAUCACUUCUGUGUGGAGAAGGGGACGAUAAAUUACUUAUGCAAAUUCCUUGGAGUAUAUGAUAAAGGAAGGCUUUGUGGAUAUGUGUAUGCACUCAGAGUGGAACGCUUCUGCUGUGCAGUGUUUGCUAAAAAGCCUGAUUCCUGGCACGUGAAAGAUAACAGAGUUAAGCAGUUGACCGAGAAGGAAUGGAUCCAGUUCAUGGUGGAUUCAGAACCAGUAUGUGAGGAACUGCCCUCUCCAGCAAGUACAUCAUCACCUGUCUCCCAGAGUUAUCCUCUUCGUGAAUAUAUUAACUUCAAAAUUCAGCCACUGAGAUAUCACCUUCCAGGGCUAUCAGAAAAGAUAACUUGUGCUCCAAAAACCUUCUGCAGAAAUCUGUUCUCACAACAUGAAGGACUUAAGCAAUUAAUAUGUGAAGAAAUGGGCUCUGUCAAUAAGGGCUCACUGAUCUUCUCUAGGAGCUGGUCUUUGGAUCUGGGCUUGCAAGAGAACCACAAAGUCCUCUGUGAUGCUCUUCUGAUUUCCCAGGACAAGCCUCCAGUCCUAUACACCUUCCACAUGGUACAGGAUGAGGAGUUUAAAGACUAUUCUACACAAACUGCCCAAACUUUAAAACAGAAGCUGGCAAAAAUUGGUGGUUACACUAAAAAAGUGUGUGUCAUGACAAAGAUCUUCUACUUGAGCCCUGAAGGCAAGACAAGCUGCCAGUAUGAUUUAAACUCGCAAGUAAUUUACCCUGAAUCCUACUAUUGGACAACAGCUCAAACAAUGAAAGACUUGGAAAAGGCCCUUUCAAAUAUCUUACCUAAGGAGAAUCAAAUCUUUUUGUUUGUUUGUUUGUUUCGUUUUUGUUUGUUUGUUUGUUGGUUUGUUUGUUUUUUCUUGAGAUGAGUCUCACUCUGUCACCCAG